rnacentral:tRNA from 1 species
GCUUAGUAGCCUAGUGGUAAGGCAGCCGGUUGUGAUCCGGUGAACCUGAGUUCGAUUCUCAGCUAAAGCCA